rnacentral:rRNA from 1 species
ACGGAAGGCGCAGUGGGGAAUAUUGCACAAUGGAGGAAACUCUGAUGCAGCGACGCCGCGUGAGCGAAGAAGUAUUUCGGUAUGUAAAGCUCUAUCAGCAGGGAAGAAAAUGACGGUACCUGACUAAGAAGCCCCGGCUAACUACGUGCCAGCAGCCGCGGUAAUACGUAGGGGGCAAGCGUUAUCCGGAUUUACUGGGUGUAAAGGGAGCGUAGACGGCAAGGCAAGUCUGAUGUGAAAGGUGGGGGCUUAACUCCCAAACUGCAUUGGAAACUGUCUGGCUUGAGUGCCGGAGAGGUAAGCGGAAUUCCUAGUGUAGCGGUGAAAUGCGUAGAUAUUAGGAGGAACACCAGUGGCGAAGGCGGCUUACUGGACGGUAACUGACGUUGAGGCUCGAAAGCGUGGGGAGCAAACAGGAUUAGAUACCCUGGUA